UGGGGAAUAUUGCACAAUGGGCGCAAGCCUGAUGCAGCCAUGCCGCGUGUAUGAAGAAGGCCUUCGGGUUGUAAAGUACUUUCAGUCGGGAGGAAGGUGGUAAGGUUAAUAACCUCAUCGAUUGACGUUACCCGCAGAAGAAGCACCGGCUAACUCCGUGCCAGCAGCCGCGGUAAUACGGAGGGUGCAAGCGUUAAUCGGAAUUACUGGGCGUAAAGCGCACGCAGGCGGUCUGUCAAGUCGGAUGUGAAAUCCCCGGGCUCAACCUGGGAACUGCAUCUGAUACUGGCAAGCUUGAGUCUCGUAGAGGGGGGUAGAAUUCCAGGUGUAGCGGUGAAAUGCGUAGAGAUCUGGAGGAAUACCGGUGGCGAAGGCGGCCCCCUGGACAAAGACUGACGCUCAGGUGCGAAAGCGUGGGGAGCAAACAGG
rnacentral:rRNA from 1 species